GAUGUGGGGCUCGAUCCCAUAAUGCCAAGAUCACACCCUGAGCCGAAGGCAGAUGCUUAACCACUGUGCCACCCAGGCGCCCCAACGCAGUUGACUUCCUAGAGGACGGUCACUCUGCCUGUUUGAAGGGCUUGUCAAUGGGCUGUAAGUAGUAAGGAAACUUGGUUUUUCUUCUUUUGUUUCCCACAUCAUUACCCAUGGAAACUUCACGAGACAGACAAAACCAGCCAUCAUUUUAAGUCAUCUUUGGUGACGAGUUGAACAGAUACAACAUGAAUUUAACUAAUAAAUUCAUGUAGAAUAAAGGUUGAUAAUGUUAUGUUUGAUGUGUUGAUGACUUCAAAAGACAUGCCUAUUUUAAUUAAGCCAACAGACGUAAACUUUAAUUUUCCAGAGAUUAUCCCAGAUCACGUAAACCUGAGAAACAUUUGGAUUAGUUUCUAUCUUUCUGAGCUUUAGAAUCCUCAAUUUUUAUAAGCAUUUGUCUUCAAACCACCUAAUCACAGACCUCUUUUAUAAUGGAGUUUAGCAAUACCAUCUGGAGGUAGAAAAUACCAAAUAUCCACAGACAGAAACAAAAACCUUACAGUUGAGGUAUGUAUUUAUCCUUGACAAGGUAUCUUAUGGAAGCUGGGUGGUAGGUUUUGAACAAGGAUGCUUUUCUAGCCAUUUAUAUUUUUAGAAGUCCUCUUCUCCACCCCCCCUUUUUUCCUUUGGUUUUAGGAAUGGCGAAUGAUCUGGAUAAGAGUUCCUGGAGAGAUGCAGGACUUUGAAUGGUUUCUGGGGCCACAUUUCUGGUUUUUGCAAAGAUGUGCAAGAUAAGGAUAGUUGCCUUGAACCCCCCAAGGAUUUGGGUUGCAAUUUAAAUGACAUCAUCGGUUGAUCUGCCCAUCUGCUUAUAUUCUCAAUUUGCCUCUUCCCCUCUGAGCAUGUAGUUCUCAUUUGGACUUAGGGGAGAAGGCCUUAAAAAGAAUACCUAUCAGGCUGAUAUCUGAAUAUCAACUUCCAAUCUGGCCGAACUUGUGGCUACAGUUACCAGGGCUUUACCAUGGUGAGGACAAAGGAGGGUCUUGAUUUUAAUGCCCUGCUCCCUGGCAUCUCACUUGAAGAAUAAGACAAAGGUAGGGCGAUAAGUAUUUCUUCAGGAGUUGAUACUUUGGGGCUCAAUUUUGUCACUAUUUCGAAAAAUUUCUUAUUAGUUUCUUGCAUGGAUGGUAUCCUGUCAGUGUUUUUCUAGAAGCUUCUAAAUACCCAUCAGAAUAUGCACCCCACGAGGAUCAUUUAGUUAACAGCCGCUUUCUGGAUUCGGGUGCACGAAUACACUAAUUAGGUAUUCCAAAGUAGCUCAUUUAGGCCAUUUGAGCAUUAAAAUCAUCCUUAAUAGGGAUGCCUGGGUGGCUCAGCCGGUUAAGCGUCUCACUUUGGCUCAAGUCAUGGUCUUGGGGUCCUGGGAUCAGGCCCCGUGUAGGGCUCCACACUCAGCAGGAGUCUGUUUGUACUUCUCCCUCUGCCCCUCCCCCUGCUCACUCUCUCUCUCUCUCUUGCAAAUAAAUAAAUAAAAUCUUCAAAAAAAUUUUUUUUUAAAUCCUCCUUAAUAGGAUCCUAAAAAUGUUCUUAUCCCACUAACCUGUCCAGGGUGCAUGCUUCCAAGGAUCUGGGACGCUGUCACCUUCAACUGAGGACUUCUGGGCUCAACUCUAAAGAGGAUUCAGUCCACCAGAGCAUUUACCAAAGGGGCCUUUCUCCAUUUAAUAAAACCUUUUCCCCGAGCUUGGAUCUCUGUUAAGGAUUUGUCUCCACCUGCCAAGAGGUCUCUAAUAAGCGUGGGUGGAGCCAUCAGUUUGGGCGUUCUCAGCCAACUGAAAAGUUCCUUCUCUGGAGAGUUGGUAACUAAGCUCUUAAGACUGAUCAUUUAAAAGCACACACUCAGUUGUUUGGCUCUACCAAACUGGGGCCUCCCUAUCAGCUCCCGAAUCGGAGGUUUAUCUCCUUGAGGCCUCCAGGACGAGGUAUUCAGGAUCAGUAUCCCAGAUCACGGCGCAGACCUCGAGCCCUUCCUUUCCUCCUCCCUUGAAAUAGGGGCUGAGCCAGAAAGGCGAUUUGUGGGGUCAUUGCCACUGACCUCUCUGAAAGGACUCUCUGAUUACAAUGUCCAGAGCAGCCACUGAACCCAUUCAGUUGUGCCACCCAACACAUCAGCUGCUAAUAAGAAUUUUCUUAAUGCCCUUCCCCAAGGUUCCCCAGCAACAUAGACCAGUUGGCCCUGUGACCUGCCGCUGCCCACCUGGUGGGAGCUGGGGGAUCUCAAAGGUCUUAGGUGUGAGGUCCCAUCUGGGUUGUCGAAUUUUGUAACCUGGAACUGGAUUCACCUCUUGGUGGGUGUUGAGCCCAAAGACACGACCGAGCCAAAGAGUACAAAAGGAAGGGUUGUACUUGUGAUAAGUAAGGAGACACCAGUGCUAUUUCCCAGAGCAGUGUCUCCUGGGACAACAAGAGUGGGGAGUUUUCAGCUAAGGGUGCAUGGAUGUUCACAGAGCGUUGAGAGGUGGGGUGGGGGGGCUUUGGCAGAGGAGAAUUCAGUCUAGAAUUGGGGCAAAAGUCAUCCUGAGUUGACAGAGUCCAGGUCCUGGUACACUGAAGUCAUGGGGCCAGCAAGGGCUGGCACCAUCAUUCUCUGGUUCCGGUUAGUCUGGUGUUUGAGUGCUCAGGGGGGUUUAAAUCCUGCAAAAACGAUUAAAGAAUGUGCUUCAGGUCAAUCUUUGCUUUUGAAACAGCGCUGGGGGCUUACCACCAAUUCAUUAUCCCUGAUAUGUGGAGGCUAUCUCCCGCCCGGUAGUGGCCGUUUGUUGUCACUUUUUUUUGUUCCUUAGAAUAAUUAACGACUGAUGGCUAUCGUCCCCAAAUUUUAGCAUUUUCCAGGAAGUUCCACAGGAAAUGUGUUUGAGCACGUAGUGCUAGUCAGGCAUAGAUCACGAAAUGGCUGGGGGCCUCAAAUGGUAAUGGCUGGGGGCCUCAAAUGGUAAGAAAGCUAUGUCUCGUCUUCCUUUUUCCAGGGAUCCCUGACCCUCUCAGCCUGCAGAGGGUUAUCCUUGGCCUGUUUCUUGUCUCACGGCUUAAGAAAACUCCUUUGAAGAAGUCUUCAGCUCAUCAAAUACCUGGUGUGUAUUUGUGACCAUAUAUUAUUAGUAUACAAAUCCGCUUGCAUUUAAAUGAUGUCUUCUCUUUCGAUUUCUUCACAAAAUGUAAAUUAGUGGGGGCAGAGACUGCGUUCCCCAUCUGAUGGAUGAGGAAACAGGCUCAGAGAGGUUGAGACACUUAGCAGGGUCGGUCACACAGCUAGUUGGUAGGUGCUGGCCAGAAUGAUAGAGACUUGCCACCUGGCACUUCUAACUUCAGAUUCUCUGUCUGACUCUAUCUGGAGUCCUCCCAUAACAAAACCACUCAAGUCUCCUGUUUAAUAAGCUUGUUUCCUUCCUACUAAAAUUCUUUUUUUUUUUUUUAAGAUUUUAUUGAUUUAUUUGACAGAGAUAGAGACAGCCAGCGAGAGAGAGGGAACACAAGCAGGGGUAGCGGGAGAGGAAGAAGCAGGCUCCCAGCAGAAGAGCCUGAUGUGGGGCUCGAUCCCAGAACGCCGGGAUCACGCCCUGAGCCAAAGGCAGACGCUUAACGACUGAGCCACCCAGGCGCCCCCCUCCGACUAAAAUUCUUGGCAAGACAGUGAUUAUUUUACUCUCACGGAUGUAACAGGAACUCCGAUGUCUACUUUUGAGCACUCUGGAUGUUUCUUUAGUUCCUAAGCCGGCAGCAUCCUGCUUUGGAGGAAGGCUGCCCGCCUUCCAGGAAAUCCAUAUACACAGGUGUUUACACUUCUCCGCCCAAUCAGGGUACAAAGACACAGAGCACUUCGACCAUCUGGUUUGCAACAAUAAGGCAGAAGUCGAAAACUUUUGAGCAAAUGGGUGUCUCCAGGGGGAGUGGAACUAAGAAUGGAAGGUCAGGGGCAAAGUAUCUCGGGAUACACCCUACACCCGAGACAAAGUAUCUUCUGCCAGAUAGCUCUGAAAUCUACUAAGAAGUGGAGAGGCGGCCUGGGUGGCUCAGUCAGCAAUAACCAAUCACCAAAACAAUCCAAGAGGAUCUUAGUAGAAAAGGAGAGCUGGGGACCAGUUUGCUGAGAAGGAUCCCAGGCCAGAAAGUCCACUGAACUCACACCCCCAGGUGAACCAGGAACAUUCUGGGCUGGUUUCCGGAAGAAUGAUCUAACUUCCAGUUCUGUGGUUCUCAGACUUUGGGGUCUUGGCGGAAAAAUGGCAGAAUGAAUUUGGAGGACUGACUUACAUGCUCACGGAGGGAUAUUAUCUACAUUUGUGAAUCACAGCUCUGCAUGGCUCAGCAGAGACGCAAAUGAAAAAAAUCUGGUGAGAUUUUUGAAGAGACAUACGGGAAGCUGUUUGGUUGGAGAAAAGCUUGAGCAGCGUCUUUAGCCAGAAACCGCCAAGUAGAAUCUUGAGGUUAAGAAAGCUCUCCUUGGGGGUGCCUGGGUGGCACAGCGGUUGGGCGUCUGCCUUCGGCUCAGGGCGUGAUCCCGGCGUUAUGGGACCGAGCCCCACAUCAGGCUCCUCCGCUAUGAGCCUGCAUCUUCCUCUCCC